rnacentral:tRNA from 1 species
GCAGUGGUAGUUCAGUAGUAGAAUUCUCACCUUUCAUGUGGAAGACCAGGGUUUGAUUCCUGGCUAAUGUA